rnacentral:lncRNA from 1 species
UUGGUAAAUGAUGGCAAAGAGCUCCACAGCUUAAAUACACACUGAAUAAAGACUGAUAUAUAGCAACUUGUGAUGUUUAACGUCCUUCAGAUACCUGCAAGCUUUCUUGGAACCAGCCUGCUUUCUCGGAAAAUCCCAAUGGUAUUUGAUGGAAGCCUUUUCUUCAGUAAAUAUAUGAAGAUCCACAGGAGAGAAGAAAAAAAUCCCUGCCUAGCAAAACUAUAUAUUUUUUUCUAAGAUGAAAUGUUGCAUUUGUUUUGAGAUUUUAAAUAAAGCUGAAGUUGAUAUCUUC